rnacentral:rRNA from 1 species
UCUGCUCAAUGAUUUUUUAAAUUGCUGUGGUAUUUUGACUAUACAAAGGUAUUGUAAUAAGAUUUUAAUUGAAUGCUAAGAGAAUGGAACUACAAAGAACAGCUAUUUUAAACUUAAAAAUUAAAGUUAUUUUAAUUUGUGAAGAAACAAUUAUUAAAAUUAAGGACAAGAAGACCCUAAGAAUUUUAUAAUUAGUAAGUUUUUAUAAUAAAAAGUUACUAAUUUUUAGUUGGGGCAACUAAAAAAUAUUAUGAACUUUUUAAUAACUAAAAUGAACCACUAUUAUUGAUAACUUGAAAAAAAUACUCUAGGGAUAACAGCGUAAA